GCCCUCGGGCUGCUCGUCGCCGCGUCUUCUCCUCCAGCCGGGAGCCCGAGCCGAGCGCAGCGUUGAGGAUUAACUCCGCCGAAGCACGGGGCCGCGCGGGACGGGGGCAUCCACGCAGAGCUCGCAGGGAGCUCCGCAGGGAGCACGGCAUUAAGCCAGGCGGGGCAUCGCGUAGCCGCUCCCUCGCAGAAGUCCCCAAGGUAAAAGCCGACGAUUGGUGCCUUUCGGACAGCACAGGGCUCUGGGUUCUUGGAUUUUUUAUUUAUUUAUUUAUUUAUUUAUUUUGUGGGUUUGUUUUUUUUUUUUUUUUUCCGGGAUUUUGUUUUUAAAGGCAUCGAUCGGGAGAUGCGGGCAGAAAUUGCUGCUGCUGCUGGGGCCGGGAGCUGUGCACCUCCGGAGCACACCGGGAGCAGCUGAACUUUGGCGCUGGGGAAGAUCCAUUUCUCCUCCGUAAACACUUUGGGGACGACCACAGCGCAUCACCGCACACCCAGCGCUGCAGCACCCGGUGCUGGAGCGACACUGGGGGGGUUCAUCUCUCACCAAGGACGGACACCUGUGUAAAGAGCUGGGGAAGGGCAAUUCGUCUUUCUUUUCCAGAUGACUGAAAAUACCAACAGGAUCGUGGCUCUUUGCUUUCCAUCAGCAAGUGGCAUUAGGGAGAGGCAGCUGAGGAAUGGAAAUGAUGUUGCUCCAAUUCUUCCCAGCAUCUACUUUUUCCCAAGGGACUCCGUGCCCAUAGGGGUUUGCUGCAUGCAUGUCCAGCAGUGAGGACAGCGGUACCACGGAUGCAUCCCAACCGGAUCAUGUAAGAAUUUGAUACUGAGAAACCCACUCCAGUGAGACUUUCUCUGCCUGAAGUAUAUGGUUCGGUGUAAGCACAGCAAUUUUUGCCUAUUUCUCUCCCUUUUACAUCUCUUGGGCUUGGAGAUCUCUGCCCUCAUUGCAACUAUGCUCAUUUGCAACAUCAGUGCCAUCAAAGAUUGGAGCACUUUCCUCUCCCAGAUCCUCCCCAGCGUGAACAAGACCCUGAACUUGGUGCAGCAAGUGGAGGCCACUACCAGCUCAGUGGUGAGCGUCCUGCAGGACCCCGAGCAGGACAGCUACCUGGCCAACAGCCAGCCCAUGAACUCCAGCAACUUCACGGCCGGCCUAGACCACUUGUUUCAGUACUCUUACUCCGACAAUGACCAGCUGUACAAGGAGUACAAACCCCCUCCUCGCGACGCCAUCCCUCUGCCCAAGGCUGUCCUCUACCUCCUCAUGGCAGCCCUGGUGGUGGUGGCAGUGGCAUACGCCAUCGUUGGGCACCUCAUCAAGGACCUCAUCCAUGACUUUAUAGAUUGGAUCUUCGGCCCCAACCCAGAUGACAACAGCAACAAAAGCGACGUCAACUGCAUCACCAGCAGCGUCAAUGAGAUGAGCGAGAUGCCCGAGGUGCCGCGCCACCACGACCGCCAGCCCCAGGACGUGGUCAUCGCCAUCGGCGAGACCUGCCACCUGCCACAGCAGACGUGAGCAGUGUGAUGGCAUGAGCACGGCGGGGAAGGACCAGGGGAAAUCUCCUUGUUCGCCUCUACUGCCGACAGAGGACUGUCUGCUGCUGAGCAACCGGCGCUGCAGGGAUGGGGGCAAAGGGAAAGGGGCUGCGGGAUGGGCAGAGCGCGCGGGGCAAAGCCCUCCAGGCUCAAAGGACAUUGCCAGGGCCAUGGGAUCGUCAGUCCUGUGGGUCCAUCAGCUUCCUUGUUUUCCCCGUGAAUAGCAAAAAAGCAAAUGGAGAAAUACAGCGAGCAGAGGCGAGGCGGAGAGAAGGGUGGUCCUUUGGUAUGCGGCUAUCCUGCGUCAUGGGAAUGGGGUGUUGGGAAGGGCAAAGUGGGGAGACAAGGAAGACGUACAAGAAAUACAUGUCCCUACAAAUCUCUCCCAGCAUAUCCAUGCAGUUGGAGAGAUGAUGCUGGAGGGGAGGGCAGGGACCCACCAGCAGUGAACAGAGCUGUUUGGGUCCCCAUUAGCUGCAUCCCUGGCUCACCCCUUUGGGUUCCCUUUGUCACCUCCAAGCUGUGUGACUCCCUGAGGGUGUGCUGGGUUCACCACAGCCACACGUGUGAUGUUUGAAGCCAGGAUCCACCACUUCUCUGCACUGCACAGCUCUCUACAUCUUUUCCAAAUUCAAAAAAGGCCAGAGAGGCUGAUCCCAAGCAGAGUCAAUUACCCAGCCCCAGGUACCCAUAGCAGGGGUUGGAGC
rnacentral:lncRNA from 1 species